AUCUCCUUUCUGAUGAUCUGUCUUGAAACAUGUGUUUUUUGAAUAAAAUCUGUUCUUAUCAGCUUAAUAUCUGAUACGUCCCCUACAUGGGGACCAGAAUAUUAAACUGAUUUUUGGACUUUGGCGGGGUUUUUGGAGCUUGCUCCAGCCCUGCCGCGGGUUGGCCUGGCAUUGCACUACAGCCAGGAUCGGCCCACUUUUG
rnacentral:snRNA from 1 species